GGUAAUUGAAGGGCCGCGGUAUAUUGACCGUGCAAAGGUAGCAUAAUCAUUAGUCUUUUAAUUGGAGGCUUGUAUGAAUGGUUGAACAAAGAAAUUACUGUCUCUUUUUAAGAAAUUGAAUUUAACUUUAAAGUGAAAAGGCUUUAAUAUAUUAGGGGGACGAUAAGACCCUAUAAAGCGUUUUGUUGGGGUGACGGGAGUAUAAUUUAUAACUGCUUCAAAAUUUAAAUACAUUAAUAUAUGAAUUGAUCCUUUAUAAAGAUUAAUAGAAAAAGUUACUUUAGGGAUAACAGCGUUAUUUUUCUUGAGAGUUCUUAUUGAAAGAAAAGAUUGCGACCUCGAUGUUGAAUUAAAAUUUCUUUAUAAUGCAGCAGUUAUAAAAGAGGGUCUGUUCGACCUUUAAAUUUUU
rnacentral:rRNA from 1 species